rnacentral:rRNA from 1 species
GCUUAACACAUGCAAGUCNAACCCUAAUACCCACAACUUGCUGUUGAUGGAUGAGUGGCGAACGGGUGAGUAACACGUGAGUAACCUGCCCCUGAUUUCGGGAUAAGCCUGGGAAACUGGGUCUAAUACCGGAUACGACCACCUGACGCAUGUUGGGUGGUGGAAAGUUUUUCGAUCGGGGAUGGGCUCGCGGCCUAUCAGCUUGUUGGUGGGGUAAUGGCCUACCAAGGCGACGACGGGUAGCCGGCCUGAGAGGGCGACCGGCCACACUGGGACUGAGACACGGCCCAGACUCCUACGGGAGGCAGCAGUGGGGAAUAUUGCACAAUGGGGGAAACCCUGAUGCAGCGACGCAGCGUGCGGGAUGACGGCCUUCGGGUUGUAAACCGCUUUCAGCAGGGAAGAAGCGAAAGUGACGGUACCUGCAGAAGAAGUACCGGCUAACUACGUGCCAGCAGCCGCGGUAAUACGUAGGGUACGAGCGUUGUCCGGAAUUAUUGGGCGUAAAGAGCUCGUAAGUGGUUGGUCACUCUGCUGUGGAAACGCAACGCUUAACUUGCGCGUGCAGUGGGUACGGCUGACUAAAGUGCAU